rnacentral:rRNA from 1 species
UACGGGGGAAGCAAGCGUUGUUCGGAUUUACUGGGCGUAAAGGGCGCGUAGGCGGUCAGCACAAGUCAGUUGUGAAAUCUCCGGGCUUAACUCGGAAAGGUCAACUGAUACUGUGCGACUAGAGUGCAGAAGGGGCAACUGGAAUUCUCGGUGUAGCGGUGAAAUGCGUAGAUAUCGAGAGGAACACCUGCGGCGAAGGCGGGUUGCUGGGCUGACACUGACGCUGAUGCGCGAAAGCCAGGGGAGCGAACGGG